rnacentral:rRNA from 1 species
GAUGAACGCUGGCGGCGUGCCUAAUACAUGCAAGUCGAGCGAACAGAUGAGGAGCUUGCUCCUCUGACGUUUGCGGCGGACGGGUGAGUAACACGUGGAUAACCUACUUAUCAGACUGGGAUAACUUGGGGACACCGGAGCUAAUCCCGGAUAAUAUAUUGAACCGCAUUGGUCAAUAGUGAAUGACGGUUUUGCUGGCACUUCUAGAUGGAUCCGCGCCGCAUUAGCUAGUCGGUAAGGUAAAGGCUUACCAAGGCAACGAUGCGUGUCCGACCUGGGAGGGUGAUCGCCGGCCCUGGAGCUGGGACGCGGUCCAGACUCCUACGGGAGGCAGCAGUAGGGAAUCUGCCGCAGAGGGCGAAAGCCUGACGCAACAACGCCGAGUCAGUGCUGAAAGUCUCCGGAGCGUGAGACUGUGUUAUGAGGGAAGAACAAAUGUGUAAUUAGCUGAGGACGUCGUGACGGUACCGAAUCAGAAAGCCCCGGCUAACUACGUG